UCUGUCUCUCUCUCUGUGUGUGUGUGUGUGUGUGUGUGUGUGUGUGUGUGUGCGCGUGCGUGUGCGUGCGUGUGUGUGUGUAAUAGCACAGCGUUUAGUGCCUCUGAUUGCAGGAACGCAGCACACUUUAAAUGACAGGUAUAUCUGAAGAAGAGAAACUGAAGCUCAGAGAGUUGGGGUUAGGUCAUCGCAUUGUCAACCCCAGGACAGACGCAAGGUCCAGCAGGGGCGCCUAGGCACUCCCGCGAAGCCGCUAGCAUCCCGGUUGUUAGCCCGCGCUUCUCCUGCGCUAGCCUGCAGCCUCUCUCGGGCACCAGACUCUCCUCCCUGGGGCUGAUUCCAGCCAGGAUAACAGCAGAGCCCUGCCCCUCCACCGCGCCCGCCCGCCUGGUGCGGGCCACUCACCGGAGCGCCUCUGGUCCGGGGUUCUGGGUCCGCGCCGCCGCCGUGCAGAGUCGCGCAUCGCCCGAGCAGCGCAGCGCCGGGCGUCUUCUCCUAGCGAACAGAAAGUUUCCCGGGGCUUCCCGGGGCCCAGCCGGCUCCUCUGGCGAGUCUCAGCCAGCACUGCGCGCUCCGGCCUCCAGCCUCUCACUAGGGCGGCCGCGGGCUCCCGCUCCACGACGAGAAGGAGGCGGCAUCCUGAACAAAGUGCCGUCCCCCGGGCCCGGCGGCCGGGGGCGGAGCCUAGUGACCCGCUGCCCUAGGCACACGCCGGCCGCCUCGGCGGAGGGCCGAGCUGGGAGUGCCCGUGGCUGGGGGUGGGAGGAAGGGGUGGCCCGGCUGCGGAUCGCCCUCGUUUUCCUCCCCUGCACUGUGCCAGCUUAACCCGCAGAGGGGCGGAGGCAUGGGUCCCUUCCAGACUUUGUCAUUGGAAAGCUAUUCCCGUAACCCUUUCCUGCGUUAGCCUUCCCGCCCCGCCUCCCCAGCCGACCGGCCGCAGAAAGGCGGCUGCAGCGUGGCGGGGGCUGCGCCGGGAGUUGUCAGGGCAGGAAGCCUUAGCACAAUUGAGCCUUUCCUUUACCCAGGGACCUGGGACCACCACUUCCAGGAGCAGGAUCCUCCUGCCCUAGUCCUCUAGCUACCUCGGUUCUUCCAGAGAAGGGUGCAGCUACCUCGGUUCUUCCAGAGAAGGGUGCAGAUGGAUCGCAGCCACCCUUCGUCCAGAGAAGUGGGAGGAGGAAGAGAGGAGGGGAAUUGACAAGACCUUACCCAGGACCUUGCGCAAAUGUCUGCAGUGCUGAGAUGUGACUGAGUUUAAGACGCUUGCCUCCUGACCCGGGGGCUUGCAGACUCUGCAGCAAGCACACAGACGAAAUCAGGUGGACUGUGCUCAGGCCCGGAGUUGUGUGUGAGAGAGAACACCUGCCACCAGGGACUCCGCAUGUGAGGAUCGUAGCCUUCUCCAGCUCCAGCCAACAGUCAGGAAGACUGAUUUAUUUUUAAGGUGCUGGGGUUGGAGGUUGGGAGGUGGAGAGAAAGCGAAAUGCCGACUAACUAGGAGGUCUUGGCAUAGUCAGAUUAAAGUCCCAGAGUCCUGCUUAGCCCCCCCCCCCAGUCGUAGGACAAGGAGAGGUAGACAGUGGCCUUCCCAGAUGGUCUGGGAAAUGAAUUUAAUGUAAUUUUUGUCCAUGAAAGGAGUGAGUUGUCCUUUAGAGCGUCGAGAGGGCUGCAGAAUAAUGCCCAAGAUGAGUCCUUUGCUCUCUGUGUAGUGGCUAAGGUGUGGGCUUUUAAGGCACACAUUUAAAGUCGGCUGUCACUGGAUCUUUAACAAGCUCUUUCACCUCUGGCUACUUCCGUUUCUUCUUCUGUAAAAAGAGACAAUAGUAGUUCCUGUCUUGUAAUGUUGUCAAAAGGAUUAAAAAGGGAAUGAUACAGGUAA